UGACUGCGAUAUGCAAAAGAACACUAGUAAUGGUAGUAUUUACUUACAGCUGAGAUAUAUCAUGUUCAGUGAUCAGUAGCUUAUGCAGGGUUUCUUUUAGCCUCUGCUGUUAUCCCGUGUUAUGUUUCGGUACACUGUAUGUUGGGAAUUGUAAAUUUUCCAUUGCAUGAAUUGUGAACGAAUUGAAUGUGUUCUGAACAUGAU
rnacentral:lncRNA from 1 species